ensembl:lncRNA
UUAAAUGAAGGCAAGUGUUUGUCCUUUUUUGUUCCUCAGGUACAGUACGUGAUAUCAAGGGCAGGCGGUCAACACUGGGGGUAGAAAAGAAGCAGACGUACUUCCAAGAGGGAGCUGCAGUGAGGUCAGAGGAGGCGCUGGAAGGUUUCCCUAAUAGUUCCUGGUGAAUCAAAGCAGAACCAUAAAGAUUGCUGGACUGCAUGAUGACCUUACCCCUGAGCAGUCAUCCUGUUAAAGGAGGAACCAGUUAGAAACUGUUUUCAAAGUAGCUGAGCAGAUUUCAUCUCAAACAAAGCUGAUUGCAGAAGAUGUCAGAGAAGAACUUCAGGCCGUGGACUGAAAAGUAGAUCAAAGCAGCUCGUGCUCCUUCUGCUUCCAAUUUAGAAGAAGAAGAAGAAGAAGGCGAAGGCUUCAGCGAAGUAGCGUUCAUGGUCUCAGUGAACAGUCACGGUCACACACUGCAUGUGGUUUUAAAAGCAACAUGUCUGUUCACC